GUGGCGGACGGGUGAGUAACACGUGGGUAACCUGCCCUAAAGUGGGGGAUAACAUUUGGAAACAGAUGCUAAUACCGCAUAAAACCUAACACCGCAUGGUGUAGGGUUGAAAGAUGGUUUCGGCUAUCACUUUAGGAUGGACCCGCGGUGCAUUAGUUAGUUGGUGAGGUAAAGGCUCACCAAGACCGUGAUGCAUAGCCGACCUGAGAGGGUAAUCGGCCACACUGGGACUGAGACACGGCCCAGACUCCUACGGGAGGCAGCAGUAGGGAAUCUUCCACAAUGGACGAAAGUCUGAUGGAGCAACGCCGCGUGAGUGAAGAAGGUUUUCGGAUCGUAAAACUCUGUUGUUGGAGAAGAAUGUAUCUGAUAGUAACUGAUCAGGUAGUGACGGUAUCCAACCAGAAAGCCACGGCUAACUACGUGCCAGCAGCCGCGGUAAUACGUAGGUGGCAAGCGUU
rnacentral:rRNA from 1 species